UUCGCAGGCGGCGUAUUAAGUCAGUGGUGAAAUCCCUCGGCUCAACCGAGGAACUGCCAUUGAUACUGGUAUGCUAGAGUAUAGUUGGCGUAGGCGGAAUGUAUCAUGUAGCGGUGAAAUGCUUAGAUAUGAUACAGAACACCGAUCGCGAAGGCAGCUUACGAAACUAUAACUGACGCUCAGGAACGAAAGCGUGGGGAGCAAACAGGAUUAGAUACCCUGGUAGUCC
rnacentral:rRNA from 1 species